AAUCAACGCUGGCGGCGUGCCUCAGACAUGCAAGUCGAACGAUUAAGACUUCCUUCGGGAAGUGCAUAAAGUGGCGCACGGGUGAGUAACACGUAAGUAAUCUACCUUCGAGUGGGGAAUAACGUUCGGAAACGAACGCUAAUACCGCAUAAUGCAGCGGCAUCGCAAGAUGACAGUUGUUAAAGGAUUUAUUCGCUUGAAGAGGAGCUUGCGGCAGAUUAGCUAGUUGGUAAGGUAAUGGCUUACCAAGGCAACGAUCUGUAGCCGGUCUAAGAGGACGGUCGGUCACACUGACACUGAAUAACGGGUCAGACUCCUACGGGAGGCAGCAGUCGGGAAUUUUGGGCAAUGGGCGAAAGCCUGACCCAGCAACGCCGCGUGAAGGAUGAAGUCUUUCGGGAUGUAAACUUCGAAAGAAUAGGAAGAAUAAAUGACGGUACUAUUUAUAAGCUCCGGCUAACUACGUGCCAGCAGCCGCAGUAAGAC
rnacentral:rRNA from 1 species